rnacentral:snRNA from 1 species
AUCACCUCUCUGCCGUCUGGCUAAGAUCAAGUGUAGUAUCUGUUUUUAUCAGUUUAGAAUUCUCUGAAUAUAUCAGUAAAAUGAAAAAAGUUUCCCAUCACAUCUCGUAACUAUA